rnacentral:rRNA from 1 species
UAAUACGAAGGGUGCAAGCGUUAGUCGGAAUUACUGGGCGUAAAGCGUGCGUAGGUGGUUUCUUAAGUCGGAUGUGAAAGCCCUGGGCUCAACCUGGGAAUGGCACUCGAUACUGGGAAGCUAGAGUGCGGUAGAGGAGGGUGGAAUUCCCGGUGUAGCGGUGAAAUGCGUAGAGAUCGGGAGGAACAUCAGUGGCGAAGGCGACCCUCUGGACCAGCACUGACGCUGAGGCACGAAAGCGUGGGGAGCAAACAGGAUUAGAUACCCUGGUAGUCCACGCCCUAAACGAUGCGAACUGGAUGUUGGGCUCAACUCGGAGCUCAGUGUCGAAGCUAACGCGUUAAGUUCGCCGCCUGGGGAGUACGCUCGCAAGAGUG